GGCUGGGCGGUCCACCAUUGGCUGGCACUGCUCUGGCUGGGGUUCACCUUCUGGCGAGCCGGUAUGCCCUUAAUUGGGUGUGCCGGGGAGCCAGGACUUUUACUUUGAAAAAAUUAGAGUGUUUAAAGCAGGCCUAUGCUUGAAUACAUUAGCAUGGAAUAAUAGAAUAGGACCUCGGUUCUAUUUUGUUGGUUUCUAGGACCGAAGUAAUGAUUAAUAGGGAUAGUUGGGGGCAUUAGUAUUUAGUAGCUAGAGGUGAAAUUCUUGGAUUUAUGAAAGACUAACUUCUGCGAAAGCAUUUGCCAAGGAUGUUUUCAUUAAUCAAGAACGAAAGUUAGGGGAUCGAAGACGAUCAGAUACCGUCGUAGUCUUAACCAUAAACUAUGCCGACUAGGGAUCAGACGAUGUUAAUUUACUGACUCGUUUGGCACCUUAUGAGAAAUCAAAGUUUUUGGGUUCCGGGGGGAGUAUGGUCGCAAGGCUGAAACUUAAAGGAAUUGACGGAAGGGCACCACCAGGAGUGGAGCCUGCGGCUUAAUUUGACUCAACACGGGGAAACUCACCAGGUCCAGACAUAGUAAGGAUUGACAGAUUGAGAGCUCUUUCUUGAUUCUAUGGGUGGUGGUGCAUGGCCGUUCUUAGUUGGUGGAGUGAUUUGUCUGCUUAAUUGCGUUAACGAACGAGACCUUAACCUGCUAAAUAGCUAUGCCAAUCUUUAUUGGUAGCCAGCUUCUUAGAGGGACUGUCGGCGAUUAGCCGACGGAAGUUUUAGGCAAUAACAGGUCUGUUAUGCCCUUAGAUGUCCUGGGCCGCACGCGCGCUACACUGAUG
rnacentral:rRNA from 1 species